rnacentral:rRNA from 1 species
AUUGAACGCUGGCGGCAGGCCUAACACAUGCAAGUCGAGCGGAUGAAGGGAGCUUGCUCCUGGAUUCAGCGGCGGACGGGUGAGUAAUGCCUAGGAAUCUGCCUGGUAGUGGGGGAUAACGUCCGGAAACGGGCGCUAAUACCGCAUACGUCCUGAGGGAGAAAGUGGGGGAUCUUCGGACCUCACGCUAUCAGAUGAGCCUAGGUCGGAUUAGCUAGUUGGUGGGGUAAAGGCUUACCAAGGCGACGAUCCGUAACUGGUCUGAGAGGAUGAUCAGUCACACUGGAACUGAGACACGGUCCAGACUCCUACGGGAGGCAGCAGUGGGGAAUAUUGGACAAUGGGCGAAAGCCUGAUCGAGCCAUGCCGCGUGUGUGAAGAAGGUCUUCGGAUUGUAAAGCACUUUAAGUUGGGAGGAAGGGCAGUAAGUUAAUACCUUGCUGUUUUGACGUUACCAAAAGAAUAAGCACCGGCUAACUUCGUG